GGUCUUUAGAUUUUUAUUUAAGAUCAGGCCUGCCCAUUGAUUUGAAAAAUUAAAAGGCUGCGGUAUUUUAACUGUACGAAGGUAGCAUAAUCACUUGUCUUUUAAUUGGAGGCUAGAAUGAAUGGUUUGAUGAGAAAAAAACUUUCUUUUUUUAAUUUAUAUUAAUUUAAUUUUUUAGUUAAAAAGCUUAAAUUUUUUUAUAGGACGAGAAGACCCUAUAGAAGUUGAUUAUAUUAAUAAUUUAUUAUUUUUUGUUAUUAAAAUAUUUUUUUAAAUUAUAUAUUUUUGUUGGGGUGACAUUAAAAUUUAUUUAACUUUUAAUAUUUAUUUCAUUAAUUUAUGUUUUUUUGAUCCAAUAUUUAUUGAUUAAAAGUUUAACUUACCUUAGGGAUAACAGCGUAAUUUUUUCGGAGAGCCCAUAUCGAUGAAUAAAGUUUGCGA
rnacentral:rRNA from 1 species